AGGCUGCCUGAUGUUUGCGAGAUCUAACGGCAAAGGUGUUAAACUGCUCGUAGGUGUCUCUUGCUCUUCAGACUUCCUGAGAUGUCUUUGAAGCCGGUCUAGUAAGUUCAAGUACAUU